rnacentral:lncRNA from 1 species
GAUCAUUCAUUUAUAGAUUACUAAUGACCAUAUUAUUUUAACUAACAAUUAACUAUUGGAACCUAAACUCACAAUUCUCCACUCUGCAUUUGCAUUUAGUGUAUGAAUUUGACUGCUAGAUUCUUUAGAGAACAACAAAAAUGGAAGCAAUUCCUUGAAAACCAAUUUCAAGAUGCAAGUUGGCUCUGAGAGUUACUGAUUCGAGUAGCAUAGUAUUUAGCAAUGAAAUCAGAAGCUUUCCU